AGAGUUUGAUUAUGGCUCAGGAUGAACGCUAGCGACAGGCUUAACACAUGCAAGUCGAGGGGCAGCACGGGAGUAGCAAUACAACUGGUGGCGACCGGCGCACGGGUGAGUAACGCGUAUGCAACCUACCUAUCAGAGGGGAAUAACCCGGCGAAAGUCGGACUAAUACCGCAUAAAACAGGGGCACCGCAUGGUGAUAUUUGUUAAAGAAAUUCGCUGAUAGAUGGGCAUGCGUUCCAUUAGGUAGUUGGUGAGGUAACGGCUCACCAAGCCGACGAUGGAUAGGGGAACUGAGAGGUUGGUCCCCCACACUGGUACUGAGACACGGACCAGACUCCUACGGGAGGCAGCAGUGAGGAAUAUUGGUCAAUGGGCGAGAGCCUGAACCAGCCAAGUCGCCGUGAAGGAAGAAGGAUCUAUGGUUCGUAAACUUCUUUUGCAGGGGAAUAAAGUGCAGGACGUGUCCUGUUUUGUAUGUACCCUGAGAAUAAGGAUCGGCUAACUCCGUGCCAGCAGCCGC
rnacentral:rRNA from 1 species